rnacentral:rRNA from 1 species
UACGAAGGGGGCAAGCGUUGUUCGGAAUCACUGGGCGUAAAGGGCGCGUAGGCGGGGAGGUAAGUCGGGUGUGAAAUCCCUCGGCCCAACUGAGGAACUGCGCCCGAGACUGCUUCUCUUGAGUCCCGGAGAGGAAGAUGGAAUUCCCGGUGUAGCGGUGAAAUGUGUAGAGAUCGGGAGGAACACCGGUGGCGAAGGCGGUCUUCUGGACGGUGACUGGCGCUGAGGCGCGAAAGCGUGGGGAGCGAACGGG